UACGUAGGGUGCGAGCGUUGCCCGGAUUUAUUGGGCGUAAAGGGCGCGUAGGCGGUCACGCACGUCCGUUGUGAAAUCGCUCGGCUCAACUGGGCGGGGUCAGCGGAUACGGCGUGGCUGGAGCAAGCUAGGGGGCAAUGGAAUUCCCGGUGUAGUGGUGGAAUGCGUAGAGAUGUGGAGGAACACCGAUGGCGAAGGCAGCCCCCUGGGCUAACACUGACGCUCAUGCACGAAAGCGUGGGGAGCAAACAGG
rnacentral:rRNA from 1 species